rfam:Deltaproteobacteria bacterium RBG_13_49_15 RBG_13_scaffold_3508, whole genome shotgun sequence.
UUCGGCGGCAAUAGCGAAGAGGAAACACCCGUUCCCAUCCCGAACACGGAAGUUAAGCUCUUUAGCGCCGAUGGUACUACACGGGAAGCUGUGUGGGAGAGUAGGACGCUGCCGAAU